rnacentral:sRNA from 1 species
AGAUGUGAAAGCAGGACAAGGCGGAGAUGGGGGUGUGAAGAUAAAAGGUGCUGGCGCACACCUGAAUGGAAAUAGAAUGAUCCAAGAGAAAGGGAAGUAGCACAAGAGGGGAGGAGGAGCUGCAUGGCUGGAGACCCCUGUGAGAAAGCAGGAAGAGGACAGAUUCAGGAUGUCCUGUCGGGGCGUGGACCCUGGAAAGCUGCGGGCACCAGGAGGGCAGGUGAGCGUGGCACUGGGCUGUGCCUCCCGUGGACGGACCAUUGCUUUUGCUAGCACCUUUGCUGCCUUUCUGACUCGAGCAUUUGAUCACAUCCGGAUAGGAGGCCUCUCUGAGAGCAACAUCAACAUUAUUGGUUCCCACUGUGGGGUAUCUGUUGGUGAAGAUGGUGCUUCCCAGAUGGCCCUGGAGGAUAUAGCCAUGUUCCGAACCAUUCCCAAGUGCACGAUCUUCUACCCAACUGAUGCCGUCUCCACGGAGAAUGCUGUUGCUCUGGCGGCCAAUGCCAAGGGGAUGUGCUUCAUUCGGACCACCCGACCAGAAACUAUGGUUAUUUA